AGUGAACGCUGGCGGUAGGCCUAACACAUGCAAGUCGAACGGCAGCACAGUAAGAGCUUGCUCUUACGGGUGGCGAGUGGCGGACGGGUGAGGAAUACAUCGGAAUCUACUUUUUCGUGGGGGAUAACGUAGGGAAACUUACGCUAAUACCGCAUACGACCUACGGGUGAAAGCAGGGGAUCUUCGGACCUUGCGCGAUUGAAUGAGCCGCUGUCGGAUUAGCUAGUUGGCGGGGUAAAGGCACACCAAGGCGACGAUCCGUAGCUGGUCUGAGAGGAUGAUCAGCCAACCUGGACCUGAGACCCGUUCCGGCCUCUUCCGGGAGGCAGCAGUGGGGAAUAUUCGCCAUUGGGCGCAAGCCUGCUCCAGCCCUCCCGCGUGGGUGAAGAAGGCCUUCGGGUUGUAAAGCCCUUUUGUUGGGAAAGAAAAGCAGCAGGUUAAUACCCCGCUGUUCUGACGGUCCCCAAAGAAUAAGCACCGGCAAACUUCGU
rnacentral:rRNA from 1 species